CCUACGGGAGGCAGCAGUAGGGAAUCUUUCACAAUGGGCGAAAGCCUGAUGGAGCAACGCCGCGUGCAGGAUGAAGGCCUUCGGGUUGUAAACUGCUUUUAUAAGCGAGAAAUAUGAUGGUAACUUAUGAAUAAGGAUCGGCUAACUACGUGCCAGCAGCCGCGGUCAUACGUAGGAUCCGAGCAUUAUCCGGAGUGACUGGGUGUAAAGAGUUGCGUAGGUGGCAUAAUAAGUAGCUAGUGAAAUCUGGUGGCGCAACCAUUCAGACUAUUAGCUAAACUGUUAAGCUCGAGACCGUUAGGGGUAACUGGAAUUUCUAGUGUAGGAGUGAAAUCCGUAGAUAUUAGAAGGAACACCAAUAGCGUAGGCAGGUUGCUGGGACGGUUCUGACACUAAGGCACGAAAGCGUAGGGAGCAAACGGGAUUAGAUACCCGUGUAGUC
rnacentral:rRNA from 1 species